GCGCGCACUUUGGGCUGACACCUGGCUUAAGCUAGCGGGCAACCUUAACUGGAGCCACCACUGUCCGCCUCCGAUUUGUGGUGGACUUUUUUUGUUCGAGCAUUGACCAAAAGUUUGUUUCUUCUUUUGGAGUGAGUUCAACAACAGCAAACUUGAAGGACGACACACACACACACCCUGCGGGGUUUGGCUGUCUGUUGGGGUCCACAGAUCGAGACCCGCUUUGAUUGUACAUUCUGGACAACAGUGUUAUAAGUGAAGUGGACAUGGAGAAACACUGAACAAAGAGACAUACACAGAGAGUGCACAGAACCCAUGUGUGGCCUCAAGUAACUAGACAUCAGGUGUGUUUGUUUAAUAACCUUAAAUGAAUACGGAAAAAUGAUAACAAAACAA